AUUGAACGCUGGCGGCAUGCUUUACACAUGCAAGUCGAACGGUAACAGGCCGCAAGGUGCUGACGAGUGGCGAACGGGUGAGUAAUGCAUCGGAACGUGCCCAGUCGUGGGGGAUAACGCAGCGAAAGCUGCGCUAAUACCGCAUACGAUCUAUGGAUGAAAGCGGGGGACCGGAAGGCCUCGGGCGAUUGGAGCGGCCGAUGUCAGAUUAGGUAGUUGGGGGGGUAAAGGCUCACCAAGCCAACGAACUGUAACUGUUCUGAGAGGACGACCAGCCACACUGGGACUGAAACACGGCCCAGAAUCCUACGGGAGGCAGCAGUGGGGAAUUUUGGACAAUGGGCGCAAGCCUGAUCCAGCAAUGCCGCGUGCAGGAAGAAGGCCUUCGGGUUGUAAGCUGCUUUUGUACGGAGCGAAAAGGCUUCCACUAAUACUGGGAGCUCAUGACGGUACCGUAAGAAUAAGCACCGGCUAACUACGUGCCAGCAGCCGCGGUAACAC
rnacentral:rRNA from 1 species